rnacentral:tRNA from 1 species
UCCCUCUUAGCUCAGUUGGUAGAGGACGUCACUAGUAUAAACACAAAGCCCUAUGGAAUUAACGACGAGGUAAGUCGUUCAAGUCGGCUAGAGGGAA